rnacentral:rRNA from 1 species
GGGCCCGCACAAGCGGUGGAGCAUGUGGUUUAAUUCGAUGAUACGCGAGGAACCUUACCAGGGCUUAAAUGCAGAACGACCGGGGUGGAAACACCCCUUUCUUCGGACGGUCUGCAAGGUGCUGCAUGGUUGUCGUCAGCUCGUGCUGUGAAGUGUCGGGUUAAGUCCCGCAACGAGCGCAACCCCUAUCGUUAGUUACCAGCGGGUAAAGCCGGGGACUCUAGAGAAACUGCCAGCGUAAGCUGUGAGGAAGGUGGGGAUGACGUCAAAUCAUCACGGCCCUUACGUCCUGGGCCACACACGUGCUACAAUGGUGGGGACAACGAGUCGCGAACCCGCGAGGGUAAGCUAAUCUUCAAACCCCAUCUCAGUUCGGAUCGGAGUCUGCAACUCGACUCCGUGAAGUUGGAAUCGCUAGUAAUCG